AUUUGUUAUUUAUUAUUAGAAAUGAGAUAUUAAGCGGCUGCAAGGAUAUCUGGUUACCUGAUAAUUGGCAGAUGCCAGUGGUGUUAAGCUUUUGAAGAUUAGUUCAGAAGAGAGUGUAGUUGGAGUUAGAAUAUAAUAUAGUGUAGUUGGGUUUAAUAGUAACAAAUGAGUUAGUGUAUUAUAACAAUAUUUAUGUGUGAUGAGGAUUUAGGUUGAGUAGAAAAGUGACUAUAAAGUAUCAGGUUAUAUUAUAAAGUGAUAAAAUUUUAAAAACAAUGAUAGUAUGAGUAUAGAAAACAAGUAGGAAAACGUAUAAAUAUAAAUAAAGAGAAAUUAAGUGUAAGAAAGGUGUUAAUAAAUAACUCGGCAAAUAUAUUCCUAACUGUUUAACAAAAACAUUUCCUUUUAGAAAAGUUAAAAGGUAGAGCCUGCCCGGUGUUAAGAUAAACGGCUGCGGUAUCCUGACCGUACGAAGGUAGCAUAAUAAGUAGUCUUUUAAUUGGGGACUGGAAUGAAAGGUUUAAUGAGGGGUAGACUGUUUUAUUAGCAAUGAUAGAAAUUGAUUAACAGGUAAAAAGGCCUGUGUGUAGUAAAGUGACAAGAAGACCCUAAGAGUUUUAUGGAAACAAUUUAUUUGACGGUGAGUUAGAGAGUGAUGCGGGAUAAAUUUUUUUUAGUUGACUGGGGCGGUUGAAAAAUUAUCAUUUUUGGUUAGUACUAGAAUGGUUGGAAUAUUUAAAUUUAAAUAUCCUUGUAGGAAAGCAAUAUUAAUUACCUUAGGGAUAACAGCAUAAUCUUUUUUGAGAGACCAUAUUGACAAAAAGGUUUGUGACCUCGAUGUUGGAU
rnacentral:rRNA from 1 species